GUGUACCACUUGUACACUGCGAAUCCUUCGCGCCGUGCGCACCCACUUGGCGACUGCUCGCUACGUUUUGUUAGCC
rfam:Xanthomonas fragariae strain PD5205 genome assembly, chromosome: 1